rnacentral:rRNA from 1 species
ACGUGAGAGAAUGGUUACCGCGGCUGCUGGCACGGAGUUAGCCGGUGCUUCUUCUGUGAGUGAUGUCCUUCCUGCCGGCUAUUAACCCGCAGGCCUUCUUCCUCACUGAAAGUGCUUUACAACCCGAAGGCCUUCUUCACACACGCGGCAUGGCUGGAUCAGGGUUGCCCCCAUUGUCCAAUAUUCCCCACUGCUGCCUCCCGUAGGAGUCUGGGCCGUGUCUCAGUCCCAGUGUGGCUGAUCAUCCUCUCAGACCAGCUACGGAUCGUCGCCUUGGUGAGCCGUUACCUCACCAACCAGCUAAUCCGACAUAGGCUCAUCCGAUAGCGCGAGGCCCGAAGGUCCCCCGCUUUCCCCCGUAGGGCGUAUGCGGUAUUAGCCUGGGUUUCCCCCAGGUUAUCCCCCACUACCGGGCAGAUUCCUAUGCAUUACUCACCCGUCCGCCGCUCGCCACCAGGGAGCAAGCUCCCCGUGCUGCCGCUCGACUUGCAUGUGUUAGGCCUGCCGCCAGCGUUCAAU